rnacentral:rRNA from 1 species
AUUGAACGCUGGCGGCAGGCUUAACACAUGCAAGUCGAGCGAGCGGCGGACGGGUGAGUAAUGUCUGGGAAACUGCCUGAUGGAGGGGGAUAACUACUGGACACGGUAGCUAAUACCGCAUACCAUCAGAUGUGCCCCGAUGGGAUUAGCUAGUAGGUGGGGUAAUGGCUCACCUAGGCGACGAUCCCUAGCUGGUCUGAGAGGAUGACCAGCCAAACUGGAACUGAGACACGGUCCAGACUCCUACGGGAGGCAGCAGUGGGGAAUAUUGCACAAGGGGCGCAAGCAUGAUGCAGCCAUGCCGCGUGUAUGAAGAAGGCCGUAGGGUUGUAAAGUACUUUAAGCGGGGAGGCGUUACCCGCAGAAGAAGCACCGGCUAACUCCGUGCCAGCAGCCGCGGUAAUUC